rnacentral:sRNA from 1 species
GAUCUUUUGCUCUCAUGAUUAGCAGUAUUGGCAAGGAGAAAUGACAACCCUCUUUAGUUCCAGAAUGCUUUUUCCUAGUUCCAAACAUCGUAUAUAUAGUAUACAACAUCGUCCCUCAACGACAGCGUUUCGGAAGCUUAUAAAUGGAGAUAGAAGAAAAACUCAUUCUUACCACCCUAGGAGUUUUGGCUACUGUCGAGAAUCUUAUGGUUGUACUGGCAGCCACUCGAAAUAAAAGUCUCCGAGACAACACACAUUACAAUCUUGUAAUCUCGUUAUCAGUCUGUGAUUUCAUAUUUGGGGUCAUCCUCAUAAUGUAUGGAACAGUGCUGAUGCCGAACAAUGACUCAAACGAUGGAAACCUUCAUUUAUCGUGCACUAUAUUGAAUAUUGUCAGUGGUGCAACCUAUCAAAUGUCAAUAUUGCAGACAAUAUUCAUCAGUUUGAAUCGGUACCUAGUGAUUACUGAAAAUAGGUUAAAUCAUCUUUUAUGGAACGGUAAAAGGAAGUACAUUGUGUUCAGUGUCACGUGGGUUGUCUCUAUUGUUUUGUACGUACUUGUUUAUUAUUUCUUAAUGCACGGAUGUGAUUUGAACUAUCUAUUACGAAAAACCAAAUACGCAGUUGUGUUUGGGUCAUUCCAAACCCUAGUUCUAAGUAUAGCUUUUUUCUUUUACCUUCUUACUUUAUGGAAGAUAUAUAAAUUGCACAACAUGACGAUCAUUGGUGUAAACUCGAACUCAAAUAAUCGAGUGAGAAAAAGAAUGGUAAAAUCAAUGAAGGUUGUGACCUUGAUACUCAUCACCUUCAUGAUUUCUAUCGUACCCUCUAUCGUUAUUGGGUUCAAGGGGGUCUCCUCGCGGUUAGAUAUGUUUUUGAUUAUCUGCUUUUCUGCCUCAAACUCAGCUGUCAACCCAUUUAUUUACUGUACACAGAUCAAGAAACUUAACAAAGAAAUGAAAGCAAUGUUCAGAAUACAUUCAUGAACAAUUUGUUUCCAGACACAAUGAGUGCAUUUGUACCAACAUAUUUUAAGAUUAUUAAACAAAUACAAUGUUUGUCAAUGUUAUCAAUGUAAAAAAGAAUUAUUUCAAAGUUGUGUCAUGAGAAAUGUACUAGUUAGUAUAUUCAAAAGCAACAAAGUUGAAGCCAAAGGAAGAAAUAAAUCUUGGAAGCUAAUUGGUCAAAUUAUUUGGCUGUCAAAGUAUCGAAAUAAUUUCAAUACAAAACCAGUUCUCUUUGUUAUAUAUAUUCACCUUGCUAUUACAGUAGAAUAAAGUUUUUAAAAUAGAAAUAUUCGAAUAAAAUAAAAAGAUUU